UACGUAGGGUGCGAGCGUUGUCCGGAAUCAUUGGGCGUAAAGAGCGUGUAGGCGGCCAGAAAAGUCCGCUGUGAAAACUCGAGGCUCAACUUCGAGCUGUCGGUGGAAACUUUCUGGCUAGAGUCCGGAAGAGGAGAAUGGAAUUCCUGGUGUAGCGGUGAAAUGCGCAGAUAUCAGGAAGAACACCCGUGGCGAAGGCGGCUUUCUGGGACGGUACUGACGCUGAGACGCGAAAGCGUGGGGAGCGAACAGG
rnacentral:rRNA from 1 species